rnacentral:rRNA from 1 species
UACGAAGGGUGCAAACGUUGCUCGGAAUCAUUGGGCGUAAAGCGCACGUAGGCGGCCUCGCAAGUCUGAUGUGAAAUCCCUCGGCUCAACCGAGGACGUGCAUCGGAAACUGCGGGGCUUGAGUACUGAAGAGGAUCGCGGAAUUCCCGGUGUAGAGGUGAAAUUCGUAGAUAUCGGGAGGAACACCAGUGGCGAAGGCGGCGAUCUGGGCAGAUACUGACGCUGAGGAGCGAAAGCGUGGGGAGCGAACAGG